rnacentral:rRNA from 1 species
GGUGCCUUGGGAGGGGCCCGCGGCCUAUCAGGUAGUUGGUGAGGUAACGGCUCACCAAGCCGACGACGGGUAGGGGGCGUGAGAGCGUGGCCCCCCACACGGGAACUGAGACACGGUCCCGACGCCUACGGGCGGCAGCAGUGAGGAAUCUUGCCCAAUGGGGGAAACCCUGAGGCAGCGACACCGCGUGCGGGAUGAAGGCCUUCGGGUCGUAAACCGCUUUUCUGGGGGACGAGUAAGGACGGUACUCCAGGAAUAAGUCCCGGCUAACUACGUGCCAGCAGCCGCGGUAAAACGUAGGGGGCGAGCGUUAUCCGGAAUCACUGGGCGUAAAGGGCGUCUAGGCGGCAGCCUAAGUCCCGUGUGAAAGCUCCCGGCUCAACUGGGAGAGGGCAUGGGAGACUGGGCAGCUAGAGACUCGGAGGGGGGUGUGGAAUUCCCGGUGGAGUGGUGGAAUGCGUUGAGAUCGGGAGGAACACCAGUAGCGAAGGCGGCACCCUGGCCGAGAUCUGACGCUGAAGCGCGAGAGCGUGGGGAGCGAACGGGAUUAGAUACCCCGGUAGUCCACGCCGUAAACGAUGACAACUAGGUGUUGGGUGUCCAAGGAUGCUCAGUACCGCAGCAAACGCGAUAA